rnacentral:rRNA from 1 species
GCUCAGAGCGAACGUUUGCGGCGGGCCUAACACAUGCAAGUCGAACGGGCUAGCAAUAGUCAGUGGCGCACGGGUGCGUAACACGUGGGUAAUCAACCCUUCAGCUCGGGAUAACGCCUUGAAAGGGGCGCUAAUACCGGAUACGACGCGAGGAUCUUCGGAGCUUCGCGGGAAAGAUUCGCAAGGAUCUCUGAAGGACGAGCCUGCGGCCCAUCAGCUAGUUGGUGAGGUAAGAGCUCACCAAGGCGAAGACGGGUAGCUGGUCUGAGAGGAUGAUCAGCCACACUGGAACUGAGACACGGUCCAGACUCCUACGGGAGGCAGCAGUGGGGAAUAUUGCGCAAUGGGCGAAAGCCUGACGCAGCCACGCCGCGUGAGCGAUGAAGGCCUUCGGGUCGUAAAGCUCUGUGGGGAGAGAAGAAUAAAGCCUGUGAAGAAUGGGCCUUGACGGUAUCUCCUUAGCAAGCACCGGCUAACUCCGUGCCAGCAGCCGCGGUAAUACGGAGGGUGCAAACGUUGCUCGGAAUCAUUGGGCGUAAAGCGCACGUAGGCGGCGAAGCAAGUCGGGUGUGAAAGCCCUGGGCUCAACCCAGGAAGUGCAUUCGAAACUAUUUCGCUUGAAUCUCGGAGGGGGUCAGAGAAUUCCCGGUGUAGAGGUGAAAUUCGUAGAUAUCGGGAGGAAUACCAGUGGCGAAGGCGCUGACCUGGACGAAGAUUGACGCUGAGGUGCGAAAGCGCGGGGAGCAAACAGGAUUAGAUACCCUGGUAGUCCGCGCUGUAAACGAUGAGUGCUAGACGGUGGAGGUAUUGACCCCUUCGCUGCCGAAGCUAACGCGUUAAGCACUCCGCCUGGGGA